UACGUAGGUGGCAAGCGUUGUCCGGAUUUACUGGGCGUAAAGAGCGCGCAGGCGGUCGUUCAAGUCGCGUGUGAAAGCCCCCGGCUCAACUGGGGAGGGUCACGCGAUACUGAUCGACUCGAAGGCAGGAGAGGGAAGUGGAAUUCCCGGUGUAGUGGUGAAAUGCGUAGAUAUCAGGAGGAACACCAGCGGCGAAGGCGGCGCUCUGGGCCGGAACUGACGCUGAGGAGCGAAAGCGUGGGGAGCAAACAGG
rnacentral:rRNA from 1 species